CUUCUCUGUGCCGAGUCUGCCGACUGUGCGACUUUCUUCUCUGUUCGAAGAAAGCCUAGCAAAAAAAUUCACUUUACCAGCAAAAAAAUUCACUUUCUUCUCUGACUGAUUUAGAUCUACACCCUCACUCCGUUCGUCGCCGACGCCGUUGCUCGCCGCAUCUGUGAGACUCCAUCGCCAUCGCCAUCGCCUUAACAAGUCCCAAGUCCCAAAUCGAAGCUGCUCUCUGCCUCUCCGGCCUCCGCCAGUCCGCCGCGCUGUACGUCUCCUGUCGGCUGUGUCCUGCCGUGCUGGUUCAUCGCUGCCGAGUGUCGAAGACGAAGCACCAAGAUCUCACUAGUUCAUCGCUGGUUCAUCACUGCUCAUCUCUGGCUCACUUAGGUAAGUGCUCCUCUGUUUUUGGCUCUGUGUCUCUGGCAUUAAAAUGGGCCAAGAUCGACUAGGAAACUUGUUAUCCUGAAUUGAUAAGGUUUCUGAUCAUUUUUGGGCUAGUUAUUGCUUUAAUUUGAGUGAGAAUCCGGCAAAAUUUUAAUGCCCAUUUACUGUUCGACAAAAUGCUUGAUUGAAAGUUUUAGUUGAAGGGUGAUUGGUCUGCAUUUUUGCACAUGAAAAAUACUGGCCAAGUCGGCCAGUUCACUUCCUCGCAUCUAAGAAUUUUUGGUGUGUUGAUGUCUUACAUUUUUCUGCUCCUUAUGCUUCCGGUCGAGUGAAUUCGAAUUGAUGUUAUGAGAGGGAGUGUUGUGAGUCUCAUUGUUUGUUGGAAUGGUUAGAAAUUGAAGCCAGAUUUCUGGUUGCUGAAUGGUAAUUGAUAUUUGCUCGUUGGAGAAGAUGAUCACUUGUCCAAAAUUGCAAUUUCAGUCCCUCCGUUUUCUUUUUGUUUAGUGAUUUGGUCCUGUCUUUUCCUGAGCUUCAUAUUUGCCUCCAACACCAUCAUAAGUCCCUUAAUUAGGUCCCUGCUUUGUUGCAUUUUCGUCAAAUCGAGUCAAAAAGCUUGAUAAGACUCGACUUGAUAAGGCUCGAUUAAAAAUCGAGCCUUAUCGAGUCGAGUCUCGAGCCUAAGGAAAUUCUUCGAGUCGAUCUUCGAGUAUCGAUUUUCGAGCUCGAGUUUCUGUGUGUAUGAGUCGAGUCGAGCUCGAGUAUAGUGAUACUCGAGCUCGACUCGACUCGAUUACAUCUCUACUCAUACCUCCUUUCUCUCUUUUGUUUUUGGGGGUGGCGAAGAGAAGCAAAAUUCAUUCCUUAAGGGUCUGUUUGGUUAAAAGUAAAAUAUUUUCCUUGGGAAAAUAUUUUCCGUGGAAGUAAUUUUCCAUGAAAAUCAUUUCCCUUUCAUCAUUUUCAGGUGUUUGGUUAGUUUAUUGAAAAUAUUUUCUUACUUCAUUUUUCUGGUGUUUGUUUAACUUUUGAAAUAUUUUCACUUUUAUCUCUAUCUUUACUUUCUACACAUUAUAACUACAUACUUCUUCCCAUGCAAAAUAAGAAAAUUUAUCUCAUUGUUUAACUUUAAAAAAUCUUGGAGAAAUGUAUAUAUGAAUAAAAAAUAUCUCCUUAACCAAUAAACAAAUUUCUGGCCAUUUAGUGUCAAAUAUCAAUCACAUGCAAUGCUUAUUGUGACAUAUAUCUUGCACUCUCACUGCUGAAAGUUUCUCUAGAAAAGAAUGUCUCUAUUAUACAUAAUUAAUUACUAGCAUAGGAUGAGCAGGAUGAGGUUUUAUUUUUUUAUUUUGAAUAUAUUAGGGAGAGGGUUGGGUUGGGUUGGGUGGUACGGGGGAGGGAAUGUAAGGAAGAGGUUUUGGGUUCGAGUUCUCCUGUUUACACAAAAAAAAAAAAAAGAACAUGCUACAAGAUGUUUUCAGUAAGUUUGGAACAUACUACAGGAGGAUGCAUGCAUUUCGAAAAACAACUUCAGUAAGUUUGGAAAGGAAGUUGUUUUCCAUAAGAUGAGUGAAAAUAUUUUACAUAGGAAAAUGUUUUCAGUAACUUUUGUGCAACCAAACACGGGAAAUUAGAAAAAUAUUUUUCUAGAAAACAUUUUCACCCGAAACAAACGGAUCCUAAAUCUAAUUGGUUUUCGGAACUGUAGAAAAUUUUAUAUUGGCCACAUCCAAAUUUGUCAGUGAUGUAGAGCUAUUUCAGUCAGCGCCGUUGUAAAAUAGUAAUCGUCUGCCCACUCAUUUGACCUUGUUUUGAUUCCUAAUAGAGGUAUAAAUGAGCAAUUUAAAAUGGGGUGGGAACGGACUGAAGAGCGAGCAACCCAAGCCAUUCCUUACGCGUGGUGACUGAGUCGGUAGAAGAUGGAGGACGAUGGUUGGGCGGUCAAAUGUUGCUGGUACAGAGUCAUACGUCAAUUUGGACGGUUUUACUUGUCUUUGCAAUUUCUGAUUUUACAGUUCUCCUUCAAUUAUUGUUGCGGUUUGUCGAGUUGCCUGUGGCAUGGGAGGCUGGAAUCCGGAGAUACAAGCAACAUUUUAUUAUUGCAUUCCGGCAUUGGCACAUUAGGUGGAGGUGAUCAUAAGAUCUUAAUUCAACUUUCAAACUUCAUUUUUGUAGGACACGAAUUCUCAUUUGAAUAAAAAAAAAGGAAAGGAUACAUUUUGUUUCGGGUAAA
rnacentral:lncRNA from 1 species